ACAGAGUUUAUUUCAGGGAUCUAACUAAAAACUCAUUCAAAAAACCAACUGACUUCUAGACGAGGGAACCGGAAGUGCUGAAAUGCUAACUCAUUUCCGGGUAUUAGGGCUCAUUCCUGUCGCAC